rnacentral:rRNA from 1 species
GACGAACGCUGGCGGCGUGCUUAACACAUGCAAGUCGAACGGAAAGGCCCUGCUUUUGUGGGGUGCUCGAGUGGCGAACGGGUGAGUAACACGUGAGUAACCUGCCCUUGACUUUGGGAUAACUUCAGGAAACUGGGGCUAAUACCGGAUAGGAGCUCCUGCUGCAUGGUGGGGGUUGGAAAGUUUCGGCGGUUGGGGCUAGUCUCGCGGCUUAUCAGCUUGUUGGUGGGGUAGUGGCAUACCAAGGCUUUGACGGGUAGCCGGCCUGGGAGGGUGGCCGGCGACAUUGGGACUGAGAGACGGAGCAGACUCCUACGGGAGGCAGCAGGGGGGAGUAUUGCGCAGUGGGCGGAAGCCUGAUACAGCAGUGCCGCGUGCGUGAUGCCGGCUUUCGGGGUGUAAACCGCUUUCGCCUGUGACGAAGAGUGAGUGACGGUAAUGGGUAAGGAAGCACCGGCUAACUACGUG